UACGGAGGGUGCGAGCGUUGUCCGGAAUCACUGGGCGUAAAGGGCGCGUAGGUGGCCCGUUAAGUGGCUGGUCGAAAUCCCGUGGCUCAACGUGCGGGGCUGCCGGUCAGACUGGCGAGCUAGAGCACGGUAGGGGCAGAUGGAAUUCCCGGUGUAGCGGUGGAAUGCGUAGAGAUCGGGAAGAAUACCAGUGGCGAAGGCGUUCUGCUGGGCCGUUGCUGACACUGAGGCGCGACAGCGUGGGGAGCAAACAGG
rnacentral:rRNA from 1 species